UGUAAAUCGCACGGAUCUUGCAGAGUUUGGUCGAGACCGACAUAAGUCGGUUGAGUAACCGUUUACCAAUCACUGUUCAAUCUUCAGGGUUUAGAUCCCUGUUUGAUGGGCUUAUAGCUCAGCAGGUUAGAGCGCACGCCUGAUAAGCGUGAGGUCGAUGGUUCGAGUCCAUUUAAGCCCACUGCUCUAAUUUGUGAGCAAAGCACCUUGACAACUACAUAGAGAGAAAAGAGUAAACAAGAGAAGAAGACGAAAGGUCUUGCAAAGGCAAGUCUGCCGUAUUCGGAAGGAUACGGAGAAGAUAAACCGGAACGCAAGUCUUAAGAAUUCAUCUACUAAAAGAUUUACGACGAGAACCGAGAAGGUCAAGUUACAAAGAGCGCAGGGUGAAUGCCUUGCCACCAUCAGGCGAAGAAGGACGUGACAAGCUGCGAAAAGCUUCGGGGAGGAGCACAUAUGGGUGGAUCCGGAGAUAU
rnacentral:misc_RNA from 1 species